rnacentral:lncRNA from 1 species
CCCACCCCACCUCCGAACACCCCUCCCCUCCCCUUAGCGAGGAAAGAUUUGGGAUCCUGUUUGAAGGGAAUUCUAAAAGUUCUGCUCUCCAAACUUCAAAUAAGGGGUCAGAGACAUGGGUCAAGACUUCAGGAAAAGCCCCAGAAAUACCCUGCACUCAAAAGCAGUUUCAGAGUUUCACAUUUUCCUGAGAAUGAAACAAAUUAUCCUCCAAAUUCUGCUGCUUGUUUUGAAUUAUGUUUACGCUGGUUAUGUUACCAGUGAGUUUUUAUCUCCACAUACUUGAAUUAAACCGUGUAGUUCUUCUUUACAUCUGA